UACGGGGGGGGCAAGCGUUGUUCGGAAUUACUGGGCGUAAAGGGUUUGUAGGUGGCUUGUUAAGUCAGACGUGAAAUCCCCAGGCUCAACCUGGGAACUGCGUCUGAUACUGGUUGGCUUGAAUCCGGGAGAGGGAUGCAGAAUUCCAGGUGUAGCGGUGAAAUGCGUAGAUAUCUGGAGGAAUACCGGUGGCGAAGGCGGCAUCCUGGACCGACAUUGACGCUCAGGCACGAAAGCGUGGGGAGCAAACAGG
rnacentral:rRNA from 1 species